rnacentral:misc_RNA from 1 species
UCAGCCAUGGCCACCUCACCCU